rnacentral:rRNA from 1 species
UACAGAGGGUGCAAGCGUUACUCGGAAUUACUGGGCGUAAAGCGUGCGUAGACGGUUACAUAAGUCGGGUGUGAAAGCCCCGGGCUCAACCUGGGAAUUGCAUUCGAGACUGCGUAGCUAGGGUGCGGAAGAGGGAAGCGGAAUUUCCGGUGUAGCGGUGAAAUGCGUAGAUAUCGAGAGGAACACCUGCGGCGAAGGCGGGUUGCUGGGCUGACACUGACGCUGAUGCGCGAAAGCCAGGGGAGCGAACGGG